UAUCUAAUAUGGCAGAUUAGUGCAAUAAAUUUAAAAUUUAUUUAUGUA
rnacentral:tRNA from 1 species